rnacentral:tRNA from 1 species
UGGGGAGUCGCCAAGCGGUAAGGCAGUGGACUUUGGAUCCACCAUUCGGGGGUUCGAAUCCUCCCUCCCCAGCCA